GCCUAUUUUACCAUUGCGGACGAGAUAGGCAGAAAAAGGAGCGUUUGACUUGGAGUCUGCCCCUGAUUUUAGUCCAAAGGAGCUGCUCUUUGAAAUGGCGUGUCCAGCUUUGGCGUUUGCCUGCUGAGGAAGAGGCCUGCUCUCUUCUCCACUCUUGGUACAAGGAUUUUUCUCUCUCCAAGUAAUUCCUCAGCAUUGCCUUGAAAGACAUCUGCCACACGUGAGCAUCCUCCACAAUCUCUAAGAUACUUUUGUUGUUUUUCUUCUUUGAACAUUUGUUUUUUUGAGAUGACAUUGACAGACAUGAGGCCUAAGUCUGGAGAUGUUCUGUGGGUAGAACUCACAUUUAUUUCAGUAUGUCGAGC
rnacentral:lncRNA from 1 species